GUGAUAAUGAUGAAGCAAAAUUAAUCUAAUCCAACACUUGAUCUGAGAGUUGCUUUGUGCAUCUACAAGUGAAUGUCAACCGAAUUAGCUUCUGAAUCUAA
rfam:Capsella rubella cultivar Monte Gargano unplaced genomic scaffold scaffold_8, whole genome shotgun sequence.